GACGAACGCUGGCGGCGUGCUUAACACAUGCAAGUCGAACGAUGAAGCGGUGCUUGCACCGUGGAUUAGUGGCGAACGGGUGAGUAAUACGUGAGUGACCUACCUUUGACUCUGGGAUAAGCCUGGGAAACUGGGUCUAAUACCGGAUACGACCAAUCUCUGCAUGGGGUGUUGGUGGAAAGCGUUAUGGAGUGGUUUUAGAUGGGCUCACGGCCUAUCAGCUUGUUGGUGAGGUAAUGGCUUACCAAGGCGACGACGGGUAGCCGGCCUGAGAGGGUGACCGGCUACACUGGGACUGAGACACGGCCCAGACUCCUACGGGAGGCAGCAGUGGGGAAUAUUGCACAAUGGGCGCAAGCCUGAUGCAGCGACGCCGCGUGAGGGAUGACGGCCUUCGGGUUGUAAACCUCUGUUAGCAUCGAAGAAGCGAAAAUGACGGUAGGUGCAGAGAAAGCGCCGGCUAACUACGUG
rnacentral:rRNA from 1 species